rnacentral:rRNA from 1 species
UAAAGCGAGCGUAGGUGGCUUGAUAAGUCAGAUGUGAAAUCCCCGGGCUUAACCUGGGAACUGCGUCUGAUACUGUUAGGCUAGAAUAGGUGAGAGGAAGGUAGAAUUCCAGGUGUAGCGGUGAAAUGCGUAGAGAUCUGGAGGAAUACCGAUGGCGAAGGCAGCCUUCUGGCAUCAUAUUGACACUGAGGUUCGAAAGCGUGGGUAGCAAACAGGAUUAGAUACCCUGGUAGUCUACGCCGUAAACGAUGUCUACUAGUCGUUGGGUCCCUUGAGGACUUAGUGACGCAGCUAACGCAAUAAGUAGACCGCCUGGGGAGUACGGCUGCAAGGUUAAAACUCAAAUGAAUUGACGGGGGCCCGCACAAGCGGUGGAGCAUGUGGUUUAAUUCGAUGCAACGCGAAGAACCUUACCUGGUCUUGACAUAUCUAGAAUCCUGCAGAGAUGCGGGAGUGCCUUCGGGAAUUAGAAUACAGGUGCUGCAUGGCUGUCGUCAGCUCGUGUCGUGAGAUGUUGGGUUAAGUCCCGCAACGAGCGCAACCCUUGUCCUUAGUUACCAGCGGGUUAAGCCGGGAACUCUAAGGAUACUGCCAGUGACAAACUGGAGGAAGGCGGGGACGACGUCAAGUCAUCAUGGCCCUUACGACCAGGGCUACACACGUGCUACAAUGGUAGGUACAGAGGGCAGCUACACAGCGAUGUGAUGCGAAUCUUUCAAAGCCUAUCGUAGUCCAGAUUGGAGUCUGCAACUCGACUCCAUGAAGUAGGAAUCGCUAGUAAUC